rnacentral:rRNA from 1 species
GGCUUGUCUCAAAGAUUAAGCCAUGCAUGUCUAAGCACAAGCCGAUUAAUGGCAAAGCCGCGAAUGGCUCAUUACAACAGCCACUGUUCACUUGAUCUGUACUUAUCCUACUUGGAUAACUGUGGCAAUUCUAGAGCUAAUACACGCACCAAAGCUCCGACCUUCGGGGACGAGCGCAUUUAUUAGAACAAAACCAAUCGGGUUUCGGCCCGUUUCGUUUCUGACUCUGAAUAACUUUGCUGAGCGUACGGUCUUCGUACCGACGCCGUAUCUUUCAAGUGUCUGCCUUAUCAACUUUCGAUGGUAGGUUCUACGCCUACCAUGGUUGUAACGGGUAACGGAGAAUCAGGGUUCGAUUCCGGAGAAGCAGCCUUAAAAACGGCUACUACAUCCAAGGAGA